CUUUUUUUUUCCUUCGUUCCCAGUUUUCUUUUCUUUUUUCCGCCGCGUCGUCGUCGUCGUCGUUUCGCAAGAGACGGCGACGUGCGGUCGCGCGCGCGCGUGGAGAAAGACCGAGAGCGGGACGGAUGGGAAGGGGAAAGAGAUGCAGACCGAUCGGCGACGCUAUAGCUUUGGGUACUCUCGGGACCCGUCUUGAAACACGGACCAAGGAGUCUAGCAUGUACGCGAGUCAUUGGGAAUGUUGCUAAACCCAAAGGCGCAAUGAAAGUGAAGGUCUUCCAUCGCGCGAAGACCGAGGGAAGACGGACGGCCGACGGUCGCCGUCGGCGACCGAUCGUCCCGCAUUCCCGGGGCGUCUCGUUCGCGCGCGCGCUUAGUUCGCGCGCGCGAAGAGGCGCACCAAGAGCGUACACGCUGGGACCCGAAAGAUGGUGAACUAUGCCUGGUCAGGACGAAGUCAGGGGAAACCCUGAUGGAGGUCCG
rnacentral:rRNA from 1 species